ACAAUACCGCAUACGCUCGCAAGAGCAAAGCCAGAAAUGGCGCCUGAGGAUGAGCCUGCGCUCGAUUAGUUGGUUAGUGGGGUAAUGGCCUACCAAGACUGCGAUCGAUAGCUGGUCUGAGAGGACGAUCAGCCACACUGGGAUUGAGAACGGGCCAAAAUCCUACGGGGGGCAAGCAGUGAAGAAAUUUCGUCAAAGGGGGCAAACCUUAACGAGACAAGCCGCGUGUCGGAUUACGGUUAUCGGAUCGUAAACUGCUUUUCUCUGGGACGAGAACGGACGGUACCAGAGGAAUCAGCCUCGGCAACUACGUGCCAGCAGCCCGGUAAUACGUAGGAGGCGAGCGUUGUCCGGAGUUACUGGGCGUAAAGCGCACGCAGGCGGUCAGGUUAGUCUGUGGUGACAGUUCGUCGGCUCAACUGACGAAGUACUAUGGAAACUGUCUGACUUGAGGGCUUCAGAGGGACACGGAAUUCCGGGUGGAGUGGUGAAAUGCGUAGAUAUCCGGAGGAACACCAAUGGCGAAGGCAGUGUCCUGGGAAGUACCUGACGCUCAGGUGCGAAAGCUAGGGGAGCGAACA
rnacentral:rRNA from 1 species